UACGUAGGAUCCAAGCGUUAUCCGGAAUUACUGGGCGUAAAGCGUACGUAGGUGGAGACUUAAGUGAGAUGCGAAAUCUGGCGGCUCAACCGUCUAGACUGUGUCUCAUACUGGGUUUCUUGAGGUUGGCAGAGGCAAGUGGAAUUUCCGGUGUAGCAGUGAAAUGCGUAGAGAUCGGAAGGAACACCAAUGGCGAAGGCAGCUUGCUGGGCCACACCUGACACUGAGGUACGAAAGCGUGGGGAGCGAACAGG
rnacentral:rRNA from 1 species